rnacentral:rRNA from 1 species
GUGGGGAAUAUUGGACAAUGGGCGAAAGCCUGAUCCAGCCAUGCCGCGUGUGUGAAGAAGGUCUUCGGAUUGUAAAGCACUUUAAGUUGGGAGGAAGGGCAGUAAGUUAAUACCUUGCUGUUUUGACGUUACCGACAGAAUAAGCACCGGCUAACUUCGUGCCAGCAGCCGCGGUAAUACGAAGGGUGCAAGCGUUAAUCGGAAUUACUGGGCGUAAAGCGCGCGUAGGUGGUUUUGUAAGUUGGAGGUGAAAUCCCCGGGCUCAACCUGGGAACUGCCUCCAAAACUGCAUGACUAGAGUACGGUAGAGGGUAGUGGAAUUUCCUGUGUAGCGGUGAAAUGCGUAGAUAUAGGAAGGAACACCUGUGGCGAAGGCGACUACCUGGACUGAUACUGACACUGAGGUGCGAAAGCGUGGGGAGCAAACAGGAUUAGAAACCCUUGUAGUCC